CCAGUUGGUUGCCAGUGAUUGGCUGCAGUUUAACUGUUGUGAUCAGCUGAGACUCAGUUGCUUAGUUACAGUGGUCGAAGAUGAUAACUUGCUUGCAUAGCAAGCUAGGUUGCAUUUCACUGUAGACAGAGGUAGCUUUGGGCCACAUUUUAUCACGAGGUAUGGAAACAGUCUUAGGUCAAACAUUAAUUUAACAGGCAUAAAAAUUCAUUUGAAGUUUCAGGGGAAUAUAUCACAUCUUUGUCUGGCUUAUCCAGUAAAUAUCCUUGUUCACCUGUGGAGACUGUGUCUAUUUCCCACCCGGUAAAAGAACAAUGCCAAUGACAUUGAAUUUGCAUAUUUUCCACCAUUAAUAUUUGGAGAG
rnacentral:lncRNA from 1 species